UCGCCUGUUUAUCAAAAACAUCGCGGAAUACGAAAUUCAGUAGUACCUGCCCGGUGAUUUUUAACGGCCGCAGUAUCUUAACUGUGCUAAGGUAGCAUAAUCAUUAGUUUUUUAAAUGGAAACUCGUAUGAAUGAUUUGACGAAGAACUCCCUCUCUCUAAGAUACUUUGAAUUUCCUAAAAAGGUAAAAAAGCCUCACCACCCCAAAAAGACGACAAGACCCUAUAAAACUUCACUUACCUUUUUAUUUACUCAACUAAGAAACUAUUACCAUGAAAGAUAAGUUAAACUGGGGCGGUUAAUCUUAAUCCAAACNCUUUAAAUUCAAACAUCUUGAAUGAUUUUUCCGAACAUACUUUUUUAAUCCAGAAUAAGUUACUUUAGGGAUAACAGCAUAAUAUUUCUUUAGAGUUCUAAUCGACAGAAAUCUAUGUGACCUCGAUGUUGAAUUGAUAGAUCCUUUUAGGGCAGCACCUAAAAAAGAAAGUCUGUUCGACUUUUANUUUUUUACAUGNUUUGNGGUCNAACCGGAANAUCUUUACAUGAUUUGAGUUCAAACCGGA
rnacentral:rRNA from 1 species